CUCCAGUCAGUCCAGUAGUGUGGUGACUCUGCUGGAUUGACUAGAAUGUAAGUACAUUAUUCACUCAAUCAGCUAUUUCUUAUCUGACUUCUUUCCACAUUAAAAUAUCUUUAUGGAUCUGAAUGGUACUUUCAGUGGUUCUUAUUCCAUAUUUCUUUCUUAACUCCCGUUUUCUGUUUGUGCGAUUACAUGAUGGAGCUCCAAGACUGAACCUCACUCACUAAGCUCUUUAUUAACAUGAGAAGCAUCAGAUCUGAAUCAUAUUUAGGACCAGGAGAAGGACCAGCUCUUCAAUUUUCUUGGGCUACUCAUGAUUUUUAAGUUACGGAACUCAUUCCAGUGAUAUUGACCAUCGUUUCACCAUCUAUUAGGACACUCCAGUCAGUUCAGUAGUGUGGUGACUCUGCUGGAUUGACUGGCAUAUUCCAUACUUCUCUUUUUUCCUCUUUCUGUCCAUACAAUGGUCUGAUGGAGCUUCAAGCCUGAACGUCUCACAGGAAACUCGUCAUUGACACAGGUUCAUCUACAAGACCAAGAGAAGGAGCGGCUCGCGUACUGUCAUCAUAGGUGACAAGGACAUUCCAGUCAGUCCAGUUUGUGCGAUUACGUGAUGGAGCUCCAAGACUGAACCACACUCACUAAGCUCUUUAUUACCAUCAGCCGCAUCAGAUCUGAAUCAUAUUUAGGACCAGGAGAAGGACCAGCUCUUCAAUUUUCUUGGGCUACUCAUGAUUUUUAAGUUACGGAACUCAUUCCAGUGAUAUUGACCAUCGUUUCACCAUCUAUUAGGACACUCCCGUCAGUCCAGUAGUGUAGUGACUCUGCUGUAGUGACUGGCAUCUUCAAGCUUGAACGUCUCACAGGAAACUCGUCAUUGACACAGGUUCAUCUACAAGACCAAGAGAAGUAGCGGCUCGCGUACUGUCAUCAUAGGUGACAAGAUGACACUGCCCGUCAUUUCUUCUCGUCUGAGUCUGCAGGGAUUCCUGCUCGUCAUAUGAAACUCAUUCCGGUGAUGUUGACCAUCGUUUUGCCAUCUAUUAGGAAACUCCAGUCAGUCCAGUAGUGUGGUGACUCUGCUGGAUUGACUAGAAUGUAAGUACAUUAUUCACUCAAUCAGCUAUUUCUUAUCUGACUUCUUUCCACAUUAAAAUAUCUUUAUGGAUCUGAAUGGUACUUUCAGUGGUUCUGAUUCCAUAUUUCUUUCUUAACUCCCGUUUUCUGUUUGUGCGAUUACGUGAUGGAGCUCCAAGACUGAACCUCACUCACUAAGCUCUUUAUUAACAUGAGAAGCAUCAGAUCUGAAUCAUAUUUAGGAUCAGGAGAAGGACCAGCUCUUCAAUUUUCUUGGGCUACUCAUGAUUUUUAAGUUACGGAACUCAUUCCAGUGAUAUUGACCAUCGUUUCACCAUCUAUUAGGACACUCCAGUCAGUUCAGUAGUGUGGUGACUCUGCUGGACAGACUGGCAUAUUCCAUACUUCUCUUUUUUCCUCUUUCUGUCCAUACAAUGGUCUGAUGGAGCUUCAAGCCUGAACGUCUCACAGGAAACUCAUCAUUGCCACAGGUUCAUCUACAAGACCAAAAGAAGGAGCUGCUCGCGUACUGUCAUCAUAGGUGACAAGGGAUUCCUGCUCGUCAUAUGAAACUCAUUCCGGUGAUGUUGACCAUCGUUUCACCAUCUAUUAGGACACUCCAGUCAGUCCAGUAGUGUGCUGAAUCUGCUGGAUUGACUAGAAUUUUUCUGUUUGUACGAUUAUGUGAUGGAGCUCCAAGACUGAACCUCACUCACUAAGCUCUUUAUUACCAUCAGCCGCAUCAGAUCUGAAUCGUAUUUAGGACCAAGAGGAGGACCAGCUCUUCAAUUUUCUUGGGCUACUCAUGAUUUUUAAGUUACGGAGCUCUUUCCAGGGAUUUUGACCAUCAUUUCACCAUCUAUUAGGACACUACAGUCAGUCCAGUAGUGUGGUCAGUCUGCUGGACAGACUGGCAUAUUCCAUACUUCUCUUUUUUCCUCUUUCUGUCCAUGCAAUGGUUUGAUGGAGCUUCAAGCCUGAACGUCUCACACGAAACUCGUCAUUGACACAGGUUCAUCUACAAGACCAAGAGAAGGAGCGGCUCGCGUACUGUCAUCAUAGGUGACAUGGGAUUCCUGCUCGUCAUAUGAAACUCAUUCCGGUGAUGUUGACCAUCGUUUUGCCAUCUAUUAGGAAACUCCAGUCAGUCCAGUAGUGUGGUGACUCUGCUGGAUUGACUAGAAUCUCCAAGACUGAACCUCACUCACUAAGCUCUUUAUUACCAUCAGCCGCAUCAGAUCUGAAUCGUAUUUAGGACCAGGAGAAGGACCAGCUCUUCAAUUUUCUUGAUGACACUACCCGUCAUUUCUUCUCGUCUGAGUCUGCAGGGAUUCCUGCUCGUCAUAUGAAACUCAUUCCGGUGAUGUUGACCAUCGUUUUGCCAUCUAUUAGGACACUCCAGUCAGUUCAUUAGUGUGCUGAAUCUGCUGGAUUGACUAGAAUAGGCACAGAGAGCAACCCAGAAUCCCUGGAAAGUGCUUCAUCCUUCAAUCACGCCAGCUUACAAAACAAAUGUUCUUGUUUUCUCUUAUCUUAAGAAUGCUCUUUAAAUGUUAACAAAAUAUUUGUUUCAUAGAUUUGGUCUCGGUUUGCACUAAUUCUUUUGUGGCUGUGUUACUUCUGUUUUAUGUCUUUUUGCAUAUGAGUAAAUAUGCCAUAUUUUAUGUAAUGCAGGAGUGAUAAAUUCAACUUCUAAUUUUUUUUAACCAAUCACGCCUUAUCAGUGACAGUAGCAUUGAACUGAACUUUUAUGAGAAAAAUAGUUCUAAACACAUUCAGACUGACGUGGUUUUAGACUGAAUAGGUCAAAUAAAAAAAUUAAUAAUAAUGAACCUUGAAAGUCAUUGUUGUGUUUUUGUGGUGUGUGCACUGAUGGUCACUUUGAGAAACUCCUGGACAUUUCUGGAAGUUUCUUCAGGAAUCUUGUAUGACUCGGUUAGACAGGUAACUGAGAAUUUAAAAUAACUUCCUGCUAUAUAAAUAUUCAUGAUAUGCUGACUGUUCUUCAUGUACACUGGAAUGUCAAAAAAGAGCAUUAACUUCCUCUUUUUGGUGAAUUUUACUUUGAAGCAGCCCAUCCCAGUUUUUGUUUUGUUCUGUUUUGUUUUCUUUGUUAGUUUUCACCAAAAUCUGUUGCACAUAACCAUAUAAAAUGAUGCUAUUAUGAUGAUUCUACUCUACUACUCUACAAUGUCAUAUUGUGCCAAUGAUUAUAUGAAGCUACAAAUAAAAAUUUAAAAAUUCAA